UUCUUCUCCACCAUUCAUGUGUAAGAGAAAAAGAGAAAAGAGUUUUCAGUUUCAAACUAUUCAGCCUUUCAAAUUGUUAAAGACGACGCAGGACUGUCGAGAGAGAAAGGAAAGGAGAGAGUCGACGAUGAGUGUGCAAGCUUUCAAUUUGUAUUUCUACGAUUCGAUUCAAUUUAAUUAUUGCUUAUUCAUGUUAAAUUGCAUGACUUAGUCAUGAGGUAAGAAUAUAAUACUUGUAUGAGUUAAGUUGAGAUGAUUGAUACGAUAUAUUGAGAUAGAGGACUAAAUUAAGUAGAAUAGAAAGUUGCAUGGCUUACAUGAUUAUGAAAUUGAGAUUUAUAAAAUGUUAGUUGAACUUAUAAUGAAA